CAUUCAUCUUCUUCCCCUCUCUCCAAGUUGCCGACUCACCCUCUCCUUCUCCCCCUCUCUUCAUUUUUUUCUCCGCCCGACGAAGACCUCCGACCAGUGGCAGAUCCGGAGAGAGAUAAGAGAACCAGCAGCAACCAUGAAAUGACAACUCCAGCCAGUAGCGAGCAAGCAGCAGCAUCAUCAUCAUCCAGGCAAGGAUUUCUAGGGGACAACAACUCCAGCAGUGACCGACGAAAUGACCAGCAACGAGCUCCGCAAGGUAGCAGCAGCGGCUCUGAUCAACAACUUCACGCUGUGCAACAUCAGUAAAGACAACAAUGGGCCAGCGAGACCCUCAUGUCUCCAUUCUCUCAUCUCCGACGAAUUCACAGAUCAUAUGGAUAAGGACAGAUCUAUGUAGAUCUAUCUCAGCUAUGAAACUUUGCUUUCAAAUCUUAAAUAUUCAUUAAUGUGGGCUGCUUGUUAUUGAAGUUUCAUGAUAAAAUUAAUAUGUGUUAAUUUGACUUAUACUUAAUCAUCCAGCAUGAUAUGGUGUUGUUUGUGUUAAAUUAUCAUCUCUUACUUCAUGUUGGUGUUCAUCUUGAGGUUCAGAAUAAUUGGUCUGUAUGAGCGAUUGUUUCCUUGUAAAAUCAUGUUUGAGGCCUAAUCGAAGAACUAAUCUGUUACUCUUCAA